AGAGAGAGAGAGAGAGAGAGAGAGAGAGAGAAAUCUGUACCUUUCACCUUUCUUAACAGCUUUACUUUUCUCUCUUCAAAUUCCUGCUUGGGUCAACUUAUCAAUAUUUCCACGAAUUCCCUACCUACAAACAACGCCUUCCCUGGAGAACAUUCCUGAAACGUUUGAGAGCUUUUCAGCCAUAGAGAAACUGAGGAGUGAUUCGCCCUUGCAGACUGAGUAGAAGAGAGGAGCUGAGAAAAAUGAAGUGAAAUUGCCUGAAAUGUGCACGUGUGGUCUGUUCAAAGCGGAGUACACGAGGGCGGUGCCGUACAAGUUUGGUGGCUUCGUUCGAGAAGAGAGAGAGAUAAAGAGAGAGAGGCAAGACACCCGCGUGAAAUUUUUAUCAUAAAGUGCAAGGUGAGAGAUGGAGGAUUAAAGCAGGAGGAAGAGGAGGAGGAGUAGGAUAAGGACGAGAGGUCGGGUGAGGGAGAGCGAAGGAGGGAGUUGCAAGUGGCGGGCGAGAUGACAGGCUGGGCUAGAUAGAGGUGAGGUGACGGUAGCCAGCCUGAACCGCCAGCGAGUGUUCAGUGUGCCACAGGACAGCGCGUAGGAUAGAGGGAAUUAUAAAAAAGAGUGAUCGCAGGAAAAAAACAAAAACAAAAAAACAAAAAACAAAAAACAAAAUUCAACACGACGGAAGGAGGAGCUACAGAGAGGCGGAGGCACCGGGCGAGGACGUGAGGUGGAGAGGAGCUGGAGUGGCGAUGCUGGGAACACACUCGGAAAAUGAGACUCAAGAAAAGAACUAAAGGUAUUUGACACAUGACAGAGAAGCAAGGCAGCGGCGGUGAAGAGUGAGAGUGACGCAGAGGAGCAGGAGCGGAGGGGACAGUGAUGAAGUGAGAGGGAAGGAGUGCGGCAGCAAGUGGUUGUGUUUGAAUGGACCUUGUUGACAGUUUGGAGGAGAAUAAGAGGAAGAGGAAGUGAAGUGCCAGUGUAGAGCAGGGGCCUGAGGGGGACUCUUGUAAGGAGGCAACUUGAAAGGAAGAGGAGGAAGAAGGGUAGAGAAGUACAUGUAAGAGGAGGAGUCUAAGGGAGGGGCACGCUGAGGGCACUUAUAAUCUCCUGAAGGCAAGAACACCUGCCGAGGCCCAGACGCAAGUGACACAGUUGUUGUUUAUAGUGUACUGAGAAACUUGAGGAGCGAAGGAGAGGAGAAGCGGCCGAAAGGAAGGAGCAGCAGCAGGAGGCGGUGGAAUAAGGCGGCUGGUGGUGCCCCUCAGACCGCCUCUUUCUUCCCGCCUCGUCCGCAGCAUGCCCACUGCGCUCAUCAUCUUUGACCACGUGUUCCUGCUCAUCCUGUUCCUGAUCGCGCUGUUCUUCGGCGUGCUGGCUCUCAUGGUGAGGCACAGGCGGGGCGUGUCGCUCAUGUCAGGCGCCGCUGCUCCGCUCCUCUAAGCGUAGCCGCCCAUCACCCCGCCCACCCCGCGCCAGUCAAGGAGGAGCGGUCUGUCAGCUGAGAGACCACUUUCGCCCUCCCCAUCAAAUCUGGCAUAAGUAUCUCCUCGUACCAGGGAGAUAACUUCAGCCGCCCGCCGCAGUCCAGCUCAGAGGGAAGGAGGUUCAGCCAUAGCAAGACGACCGCUCUCCCUUAGGUUGUCUUGGGCAUAACUCUUCCUCCAGUUAUCGGAAGUGGACGCUCGUAGCCUUCAGACCAGCCACGCACGCACACACGGCUCUACCCGCCCCUCUGCUUCAACUCAAGGCCCGAGGGAGAACGAGGGAGGACAUCCUAGCGCGUCAGAAGUGCAGCGCUUCAGUAGAUCAGGAUAUUGUUGACCAGGGAAUCCCGUGAUGAGUGUACCUGUGUCGCGCUGGUGAUUGGUUCCUUGGUUCCAUUCUCCAUUGAGUCAUUCGGUCAGCCUUUGAGUCACGAAACACCGCCAUCAUCCCCAUAUUUGUUGUCUUUCUCUCCUUGUAGUUGAUGCAAAGGAUUCUUUCCUCCCGCCCACCUGUCCGUGUGUUGCACUUGCCCGCACACGAACAGUGGAAAAGACUGGUGUUGCUCCGCCGUCAACCAGUGUGAUCCUUGAGUAGAGUGUGUCUGUCUGUGUUCGUCACGUAUCGGUCAAAGAAGUCAAGGGGGUGACAUUACCUGCACUUCUAUCUCACAUCGCCAUAUACACACACACACACACACACACACACACACACACACACACACACACACACACACACACAAACUGAACUAACUUCCCAGAAACACAGCUGUCACGCAUCGCCGCCUCCUCUCCUGUCUCAACACACCACCACCACCACCACCACCACCACCACUUCCCUCACCAUGAACGCCCUGCUGGCCCUAGACGCGGGGUUCCUCGGGCUGCUGCUGGUGGUGGCCGUGGCUUGCUUCGUGUACACAGUGGUCCCGCCCUUGAGAGCCUCCCCGCGCUUCACCCACCUCACCCACGUCAUCACCCCGGAGAUACCUAGGCCAGGGGACGCCGCCGCUCCUGUCGUGGACGUGUGAGCGAGGGUCCUGUGGGAGGGAGGGAUGGGGAGGGACGGGUAGAGGGAUGGGGUAGAAUAGUAAAGGUCAAGGGGGUGUAUUGUAUGUAUGUUUGUGUGUAUGAUGGGGUGUGUCUGUUAGGAUGAUUGACUUUGUGUGUGUGUAGAGAGAGAGAGAGAGAGAGAGAGAGAGAGAGAGAGAGAGAGAGAGAGAGAGAGAGAGAGAGAGAGAGAGAGAGAGAGAGAGAGAGAGAGAGAGAGAGUAUGGCUUGGUUCACGUAAGGUGUUCAUUUGUUCAUUUCCGUGUUUGUUCAUUCAUUCAGUUGUUUGUUUGUGUGAUAGUUAACUGGUGAUUUCCAUUAUUUGAUGAUGUGUUGUCUAUCCGAGCUGGUGAAUGACUGGGGGCCUGACUUGGUGAGCUGCAGGAUGAUCCAGGGUGAAGAGCAGGAAGAAGAGGAGGAGGAGGAGGAGGAAGGGUUUAAUUAAUGCAGGGGUGAAAAAAGGGAGUAUUAGACAUUAGUUAUUCACGUCGUUAAAGCGUGUGACCUGAUAGAGUGUGAUUGGUUCCUGCCUGGUCCCCCGCGUGGUGAUUGGUGCGCUGGCUGAGGGAAGGGCGCCGCGGCUCCUUGGUGUUCGUCAUGUUGCAACAUUUAGUACAGAUGUUCUCGUGAUUUAUUUAUUUAUUUAUUUAUUUUUGAUAUAUUUUUCUGUAUUUUACAUGUGACCUGACAAAUAAACGUUCCGGUGUAUUUAUGUAGCAACUAAGUAAUUUCUUCGUUUGUUGUGUGAUUCCAUCUUUGUACUUUUUUGUAAAGAAAACCAAGCGACUGUUUAUAUAUAUAUAUAUAUAUAUAUAUAUAUAUAUAUAUAUAUAUAUAUAUAUAUAUAUAUAUAUAUAUAUAUAUAUAUAUAUAUAUAUAUAUAUAUAUAUAUAUAUAUAUAUAUAUAUAAUUUUAUUUAUUUAUUUUUUUUCUCCUCCAUUCGUGCCGCCUGGUGAAGUGGGCCUGGGUGACUCUUGUCUUGGUGAUCGUUCCUUCGUGUUGCUUUUCUAGAUGCAAAUGUUUUUUUUUUUUUUUUUCAUUUAUUUUUAUGUAAUGUUUUAUGGCUCACCUCAGGACAACGCGACCUUCGUUCAGUGUGAAUCAUGUUAAUUACGUAGCUCGGCGGAGUAUUUUUCUUUAAUGAAUCUUGUAUGAUACUGAGGAGCUUGUAUAGACUGUAGGGUGUUUAGCUGUCAUGUGUUGCUGCACUAUGAUGGAUGAUGGCCAGGGAGUAAGGAGGAGGUGACGAGUGUUGGUGACCCCAGAGUGACCGCCUCUUCACGUUUUGGUGACCGUCAUCCUUACCUGCGUGUUGUACAUCCUGCAUUCGUGGCUUUGUGUUACUGUAGCCAAGAUGCAAUAGUUUACAGCAGUCAUAAAGGUUGAUAGGCUUUUCUUCAGGUGUUUUGUUAGUUGUUAAGUUAGGUGGUAUAGUUCCCCUGCAUCAUUACCUACAGCCACGUCACAGGCCAGGCCGCGGGGCAGGCGGUGGGCACAGCGCCUGCCUGCCUGCCUGCUUCACGUCUUGUGUCAUCACCAGGACUUGAGUCGCGUUAGCCUCAUUUCUUUAUUAGUUUUUCAUUUUUAUUUAUUUGUUAUUCCCUCUUCCACGGCCAAAGUUGUACUCGUAAUUGUAAGGAUACUCCCGAAGCUCCCGCCAGAUGUCUCUGCAACUGUGCGGGCUUCGUGAACCAUAUCAGAUGUCACCUGGGCUGUGAGUUUACCUCACGGCACGCACCACACGUGAGCCACCCACUGUUCCAGGACAGCCGCUGUGAGCCAGGGCUUUGUCUGCAGCGAUGCUUGAUAGCGGUCCAUGCUGUGCACCAGAUCGGCCCUGCUGCACAGUGAGGUAACAAUGUAGCAGCCUUGUGAAGCCUGUCAUUGCACACGUGGACCAAGGCUGAGGGCUGGAAAGUAAACAAAGGAAGGCUCAUCGGAUGGCUGCCAGUGAGAUCGAUGGGAUGUGAGUACACGGGAGUCGCAUCUGUACUUCCGCUGACCGCCUGGCCAUCACACUGGGGAUCACUGAGCAAAGGUGGCGUGUAGUGCACAGGUGACCCGUAACCUCGCCGCCACCCUCACCCGACACCACUAUUGCCACACACCACAGUGGUUACCAGUGUUGGUGGUAGUGGUGCCUGUAUUGCUGGUGAUGGUGGUGGUGGUGGACACAAUACUCGAUGUAUGAUGAGCAACUCAAAUACUCUCAGAUAAAAAUAGAUACUUUAAUCUAUAGAUCUUCAAGACAUUUGUCUGUCUAUAUUUUUUGAGCGCCAGUCCCACAAAACAGAGCUUAUAUUGGUGUAGAGUAAAGGUGACGAACUGAAUACCUCCCCGAGGGAAGCGCGCCGAGCACACCCUCGCCCACCUGAGGCAGGCACCCAAGUACCGUCUGGCUGACAUGAAGCAAGCCGAGUACCGCACCACUGACGUGAAGAAAGUGAGCCUCGGCUAAACACAAUACGAGCCUGGUACCCGCCUCGUUAACACGGAGGCGAGGCAAGCCCCGCCACGCUGACCCAAGGGAGGCGAGCCGACAUAAACACCAUUCUUAUCUCGGUGUUCAGGAUCGUCCUAAAAUGUAAAAUGAAUAAAAUAUAUUAAGAAAA